rnacentral:rRNA from 1 species
CCUACGGGUGGCAGCAGUGGGGAAUAUUGCACAAUGGGGGCAACCCUGACGCAGCGAUGCCGCGUGAGUGAAGAAGUCUCUCGGUACGUAAAGCUCUAUCAGCAGGAAAGAAAAUGACGGUACCUGACUAAGAGGCCACGGCUAAUUACGUGCCAGCAGCCGCGGUAAUACGGAGGGGGCACGCGUUAUCCGGAUUUACUGGGUGUAAAGGGAGUGUAGAUGGCGCUGCAAGUCCGGAGUGAAAGCCCAUGGCUUAAUCGUGGUACUGCACUGGAUACUGGAGCGCUUGAGUGCGGGAGGGACAGGCGGAAUUCCUAGUGUAGCGGUGAAAUGCGUAGAUAUUAGGAGGAACACCGACGGCGAAGGCGGCCUGCUGGACCGUAACUGACGUUGAGGCGCGAAAGCGUGGGGAGCAAACAGGAUUAGAUACACUGGUAGUC